rnacentral:rRNA from 1 species
UGGGGAAUAUUGCACAAUGGGCGCAAGCCUGAUGCAGCCAUGCCGCGUGUGUGAAGAAGGCCUUCGGGUUGUAAAGCACUUUCAGCGGGGAGGAAGGCGUUAAGGUUAAUAACCUUGGCGAUUGACGUUUCCCGCAGAAGAAGCACCGGCUAACUCCGUGCCAGCAGCCGCGGUAAUACGGAUGGUGGAAGCGUUAAUCGGAAUUACUGGGCGUAUAGCGCACGCAGGCGGUCUGUCAAGUCGGAUGUGAAAUCCCCGGGCUCAACCUUGGAGCUGCAUUCGAAACUGGCCGGCUAGAGUCUUGUAGAGGGGGGUAGAAUUCCAGGUGUAGCGGUGAAAUGCGUAGAGAUCUGGAGUAAUACCGGUGGCGAAGGCGGCCCCCUGGACAAAGACUGACGCUCAGGUGCGAAAGCGUGGGGAGCAAACAGG